rfam:Wuchereria bancrofti cont1.20791, whole genome shotgun sequence.
GCCCCAUUGGCGCAGUCGGUUAGCGCGUCGUACUUAUAAGUGAACGAAGAGAUGCGAAGGUCAGCAGUUCGAGCCUGCUAUGGGGCA